UACGUAGGUCCCGAGCGUUGUCCGGAUUUAUUGGGCGUAAAGCGAGCGCAGGUGGUUUAUUAAGUCUGGUGUAAAAGGCAGUGGCUCAACCAUUGUAUGCAUUGGAAACUGGUAGACUUGAGUGCAGGAGAGGAGAGUGGAAUUCCAUGUGUAGCGGUGAAAUGCGUAGAUAUAUGGAGGAACACCGGUGGCGAAAGCGGCUCUCUGGACGGUAACUGACGCUGAGGCGCGAAAGCGUGGGGAGCAAACAGG
rnacentral:rRNA from 1 species